rnacentral:tRNA from 3 species
GGGCCGGUAGCUCAGUGGUUAGAGCAGGGCGCUCAUAACGCUUUGGUGGCUGGUUCAAUUCCAGCUCGGCCCACCA